rnacentral:tRNA from 1 species
CUCCCGGGCCCAUGCCCCGGGAAUGUUGGUUAAAGUCCUCCCUUUACCA